rnacentral:rRNA from 1 species
UACGGAGGGUGCAAGCGUUGUCCGGAUUUAUUGGGUUUAAAGGGUGCGUAGGCGGCCCGGUAAGUCAGUGGUGAAAGCCUCCAGCUCAACUGGAGAACUGCCAUUGAUACUGCCGGGCUUGAGUACAGACGAGGUUGGCGGAAUUGAUUGUGUAGCGGUGAAAUGCAUAGAUACAAUCAAGAACUCCGAUUGCGUAGGCAGCUAACUAGGCUGUAACUGACGCUGAUGCACGAAAGCGUGGGGAGCAAACAGG